AUUGAACGCUGGCGGCAUGCUUUACACAUGCAAGCCGAACGGCAGCGCGGGCUUCGGCCUGGCGGCGAGUGGCGAACGGGUGAGUAAUACAUCGGAACGUGCCCAGUAGUGGGGGAUAGCUCGGCGAAAGCCGGAUUAAUACCGCAUACGACCUGAGGGUGAAAGCGGGGGAUCUUCGGACCUCGCGCUAUUGGAGCGGCCGAUGGCAGAUUAGCUAGUUGGUGGGGUAAAGGCCUACCAAGGCGACGAUCUGUAGCUGGUCUGAGAGGACGACCAGCCACACUGGGACUGAGACACGGCCCAGACUCCUACGGGAGGCAGCAGUGGGGAAUUUUGGACAAUGGGCGAAAGCCUGAUCCAGCAAUGCCGCGUGUGUGAUGAAGGCCUUCGGGUUGUAAAGCACUUUUGGCGGGAACGAAAAGGACUGUGCCAAUACCACGGUCCGAUGACGGUACCCGCAGAAUAAGCACCGGCUAACUACGUG
rnacentral:rRNA from 1 species